rnacentral:rRNA from 1 species
UACGUAGGGGGCUAGCGUUGUCCGGAAUCAUUGGGCGUAAAGCGCGUGUAGGCGGCCCGAUAAGUCCGCUGUGAAAGUCCAGGGCUCAACCCUGGGAUGCCGGUGGAUACUGUCGGGCUCGAGUCCGGAAGAGGCGAGUGGAAUUCCUGGUGUAGCGGUGAAAUGCGCAGAUAUCAGGAGGAACACCAAUGGCGAAGGCAGCUCGCUGGGACGUUACUGACGCUGAGACGCGAAAGCGUGGGGAGCAAACAGG